rnacentral:rRNA from 1 species
GAGGCUGAAGANUUUGGCUGUGCUCGAAAGAGAACCGUAACACAGGUGCUGCAUGGCUGUCGUCAGCUCGUGUCGUGAGAUGUUGGGUUAAGUCCCGCAACGAGCGCAACCCUUGUCAUUAGUUGCUACGAAAGGGCACUCUAAUGAGACUGCCGGUGACAAACCGGAGGAAGGUGGGGAUGACGUCAAGUCCUCAUGGCCCUUAUGGGUAGGGCUUCACACGUCAUACAAUGGUACAUACAGAGCGCCGCCAACCCGCGAGGGGGAGCUAAUCGCANAAAGUGUAUCGUAGUCCGGAUUGUAGUCUGCAACUCGACUACAUGAAGUUGGAAUCGCUAGUAAUCGCGGAUCAGCAUGUCGCGGUGAAUACGUUCCCGGGUCUUGUCACACCGACCGA